GAUGAACGCUGGCGGCGUGCCUAAUACAUGCAAGUCGAGCGAACAGACGAGGAGCUUGCUCCUCUGACGUUAGCGGCGGACGGGUGAGUAACACGUGGAUAACCUACCUAUAAGACUGGGAUAACUUCGGGAAACCGGAGCUAAUACCGGAUAAUAUAUUGAACCGCAUGGUUCAAUAGUGAAAGACGGUUUUGCUGUCACUUAUAGAUGGAUCCGCGCCGCAUGAGCUAGUUGGUAAGGUAACGGCUUACCAAGGCAACGAUGCGUAGCCGACCUGAGAGGGUGAUCGGCCACACUGGAACUGAGACACGGUCCAGACUCCUACGGGAGGCAGCAGUAGGGAACCUUCCGCAAUGGGCGAAAGCCUGACGGAGCAAGGCCGCGUGAGUGAUGAAGGUCUUCGGAUCGUAAAACUCUGUUAUUAGGGAAGAACAAAUGUGUAAGUAACUAUGCACGUCUUGACGGUACCUAAUCAGAAAGCCACGGCUAACUACGUG
rnacentral:rRNA from 1 species